CAAGACCACAGGCUGAGCCCCAGCAGGGCAGGAAGAAGGGAUGGCUACUCGUGAGAUGCCACCUGGAAACUCUCAAAAACUGCUGUGUGAACUUUCCAGAGGAGCUGCGUUUCUGUAGGAUGCAUGGUGACCGCUGGAAGGAGUGCACAGGGAAACUGCUGGAUGCUUUUGGCCAAAGAACCAAAGACCCAGAGACUCCUAGAGCCAGGUUCCCUGCUUCUGCUCCUGUCUUCUCACCUUGGAGUGCCCUUUCCCUCACGCUCCCAAUUACUGAAGACCUUGAAGGCUGUGGUCAAGUGU